rnacentral:misc_RNA from 1 species
CUCUCUCUCUCUCUCUCUCUCUCUCUGGCGUUUCUUUAUUCCCUAAUCUAAAUCUCCCAUCUCAAGCAGUCCCACCACAAAAAUGUUUCAGCGCAGAUUCGUAAUAGAAGCAUCGGAAGCCGAAUCGAUGGCCAAAGAAUCAGGUCUUGCAGUUCUCCAGCUUCUUCCUUCCCUAGUUAAAGAGGCCCGGUCCUUGGCCUGCACGCCCAUCUCCAACUACCACGUCGGUGUCGUUGGCCUUGGAUCCUCCGGCCGCAUCUUUUUU